UAUCCAGACUCCUACGGGAGGCAGCAGUGGGGAAUAUUGGGCAAUGGGCGCAAGCCUGACCCAGCAACGCCGCGUGAAGGAAGAAGGCUUUCGGGUUGUAAACUUCUUUUCUCAGGGACGAAGAAAGUGACGGUACCUGAGGAAUAAGCCACGGCUAACUACGUGCCAGCAGCCGCGGUAAUACGUAGGUGGCAAGCGUUAUCCGGAUUUAUUGGGUGUAAAGGGCGUGUAGGCGGGAGCGCAAGUCAGAUGUGAAAACUCAGGGCUCAACCCUGAGCCUGCAUUUGAAACUGUGUUUCUUGAGUGCUGGAGAGGCAAUCGGAAUUCCGUGUGUAGCGGUGAAAUGCGUAGAUAUAAGGAAGAACACCAGUGGCGAAGGCGGAUUACUGGACGAUAACUGACGGUGAGGCGCGAAAGCGUGGGGAGCAAACAGGAUUAGAUACCCGGGUA
rnacentral:rRNA from 1 species